AAAGAAAGUAAUAAAUAAUAUUAUAUAACGCUCACCAAUACACUAAACAUAUAUAGAAUAUUAAAUACGUAUUUAGAAUAUUCGGAUUGGUACGAAUGAACUGUCAUGCGCAUGUACGAUUGUACGCAUCUCGCUAUUUUGUACGCGCCAGUGCACGCGUCUGCACGCGCAACGCCGCAACAUGAUGAUGUGCGCGAGGUUAGUAGCGAGUCAGUUUUCAGUUUUAUGCAUAAUUUGCAUAUUUUAUCGUGAAGGGAAAUACGGCUGUGCUUAAUUUAAAGUUUAGUCUAACACUAUGGAUUGUAUAAUCAGAUAAGUCUCACAAAAUUUUUAUUUUUUUGUAUGGAGUAAGUAUUCUGAGAUAAGAUGAAUACUUUGUGUUAUGUUUUAUUUUUAGUUAUAUUAAAAGCAAGAGAGGAAGAAACACUAUUUGAGCGUAAAGUAGAAGAGUAGACGAGUAAGGAAAGAAAGAUGUAAAAGAGAGAUCAACCUCACAGCUUGGAAUUUACAGUGUGCCGAACAGAAUAUGUGGACCUUGAAGGUAUCAAAUAACAUAAUUUUACUAAAAAAGUUAUAGGAUGAAGUGAACAAUUUAUUUUUUGUGUGAGAAAGUAUCUAUUACAAUCUAACUUGUUCCGAGAAAACCUUUACAAAAGAUUUAAUAAAGAACAAGCAAUUUGAUGAGAUUAUCAUAUCAUUAUUAUCAUAUUUAUUAUUCGAAUUUUAAAGAGAAACAGUAAGAAAUUUUAUUAAUACAUUAUUAAAAAAUUGUUGGCUGUUACACCAAAAUUCUCUUUCUUGUAAGCUGAUGUAUGCUAUUGAUAAAAAAUUCACCAAAGUUCAUCCCUGUUUUAGCUCAGCGAACCAUUAUAUGUAUAGAGAAUUGACAGAGCAAUUCAUAUCAAAAGGAUUAUCUAAAGGUGUACUUCCUAGUUCUUCAAUGUAUUGCAACUGUGUGGCUCUUAAAGGUAUCGUACAACUAUCUUUUUUAGAUAGUUGUUACUGAAAUAAAUAAAAAGCGUGAAAUCUGAUCUGAAACAAUUACAACAAAGUAUACAGACUAAUAUCACUCAACUAACCUGCCGAUGAUGUGGUCGCAGGCUGUAAUAUAGGAAAUAUGUUUAUGAAUGUCAAGGAUCAUCUAAUAAUUUAAGAAUGACCAGUGGAUGUGCGUAUGAUUAUCUGGAAAUGUGCACAAAAGUGGAACUUGAGAAGGAACAUUUGAUUAUUCCCAUCUCUAAUUUGCUGGGUUUUAUUCUAAAAACAUAUAAUGGCUAUAGUUUAU